GAUGAAUGCUGGCGGCGUGCCUAACACAUGCAAGUCGAGCGGCAGCGAGUUUUACACUGAAUUCUGGAAGCUUCUGAGUAGUACAGAAGAUUUAUUCAAGAGUUUUGUGUAAAAUGUCGGCGAGCGGCGGACGGCUGAGUAACGCGUAGGAAUUUGCCCCAAAGUGAGGAAUAACUGCCCGAAAGGGUAGCUAAUGCCGCAUAUGGUCUUCGGAUUAAAGCCUUCGGGCGCUUUGGGAGAAGCCUGCGUUGGAUUAGGUAGUUGGUAGGGUAAUGGCCUACCAAGCCGACGAUCCAUAGCUGGGCUGAGAGGAUGAUCAGCCAGACUGGAACUGAGACACGGUCCAGACUCCUACGGGAGGCAGCAGUGAGGAAUCUUCCACAAUGGGCGAAAGCCUGAUGGAGCAACGCCGCGUGAAGGAUGAAGGCCUUCGGGUUGUAAACUUCUUUUAUGAGUGAAGAAUAUGACGGUAACUCAUGAAUAAGCACCGGCUAACUACGUG
rnacentral:rRNA from 1 species